rnacentral:rRNA from 1 species
GACGAACGCUGGCGGCGUGCUUAACACAUGCAAGUCGAACGGAAAGGCCCUGCUCUUGUGGGGUGCUCGAGUGGCGAAAGGGUGUGUAAAACGCGUGUAAAACGUCCUUGACUUUGGGAUAUAUUCCGGAAACUGGGGCUAUUAUCGGAUAGGAGAUCUUGCUGCAUGGUGGGGGUUGGAAAGUUUCGGCGGUUGGGGAUGGACUCGCGGCUUAUCAGCCUGUUGGUGGGGUAGUGGCUUACCAAGGCUUUGACGGGUAGCCGGCCUGAGAGGGUGACCGGCCACAUUGGGACUGAGAUACGGCCCAGACUCCUACGGGAGGCAGCAGUGGGGAAUAUUGCACAAUGGGCGGAAGCCUGAUGCAGCAACGCCGCGUGCGGGAUGACGGCCUUCGGGUUGUAAACCGCUUUCGCCUGUGACGAAGCGUGAGUGACGGUAAUGGGUAAAGAAGCACCGGCUAACUACGUG